rnacentral:rRNA from 1 species
AUUGAACGCUGGCGGCAUGCCUUACACAUGCAAGUCGAACGGCAGCACGGGAGCAAUCCUGGUGGCGAGUGGCGAACGGGUGAGUAAUGCAUCGGAACGUGCCCAGUCGUGGGGGAUAACGCAGCGAAAGCCGCGCUAAUACCGCAUACGAUCUAUGGAUGAAAGCGGGGGACCGUAAGGCCUCGCGCGAUUGGAGCGGCCGAUGUCAGAUUAGGUAGUUGGUGGGGUAAAGGCUCACCAAGCCAACGAUCUGUAGCUGGUCUGAGAGGACGACCAGCCACACUGGGACUGAGACACGGCCCAGACUCCUACGGGAGGCAGCAGUGGGGAAUUUUGGACAAUGGGCGCAAGCCUGAUCCAGCAAUGCCGCGUGCAGGAAGAAGGCCUUCGGGUUGUAAACUGCUUUUGUACGGAACGAAACGGCUCUGGUUAAUACCUGGGGCUAAUGACGGUACCGUAAGAAUAAGCACCGGCUAACUACGUGCCAGCCGCCGCAGUAAAAC